UUCGAUGAUACGCGAGGAACCUUACCUGGGCUCAAAUGUAUGUUGACGUAUUCUGAAAGGGAUACUUCUUCGGACAAUAUACAAGGUGCUGCAUGGUUGUCGUCAGCUCGUGCCGUGAGGUGUCGGGUUAAGUCCCAUAACGAGCGCAACCCUAUCAUUAGUUGCCAUCAGGUCAAGCUGGGGACUCUAAUGAAACUGCCUACGCAAGUAGUGAGGAAGGUGGGGAUGACGUCAAAUCAGCACGGCCCUUACGUCCAGGGCUACACACGUGCUACAAUGGCCGGUACAAAGGGCAGCUACCUGGUGACAGGAUGCUAAUCUCAAAAGCCGGUCUCAGUUCGGAUCGGAGUCUGCAACCCGACUCCGUGAAGCUGGAUUCGCUAGUAAUCGCGCAUCAGCCACGGCGCGGUGAAUACGUUCCCGGGCCUU
rnacentral:rRNA from 1 species